GACGAACGCUGGCGGCGUGCCUAAUACAUGCCAGUUGAGCGCUGAAGGUUGGUACUUGUACCAACUGGAUGAGCAGCGAACGGGUGAGUAACGCGUGGGGAAUCUGCCUUUGAGCGGGGGACAACAUUUGGAAACGAAUGCUAAUACCGCAUAAAAACUUUAAACACAAGUUUUAAGUUUGAAAGAUGCAAUUGCAUCACUCAAAGAUGAUCCCGCGUUGUAUUAGCUAGUUGGUGAGGUAAAGGCUCACCAAGGCGAUGAUACAUAGCCGACCUGAGAGGGUGAUCGGCCACAUUGGGACUGAGACACGGCCCAAACUCCUACGGGAGGCAGCAGUAGGGAAUCUUCGGCAAUGGACGAAAGUCUGACCGAGCAACGCCGCGUGAGUGAAGAAGGUUUUCGGAUCGUAAAACUCUGUUGGUAGAGAAGAACGUUGGUGAGAGUGGAAAGCUCACCAAGUGACGGUAACUACCCAGAAAGGGACGGCUAACUACGUG
rnacentral:rRNA from 1 species